UGGUCCGGGAGUCCGAGGCUGCGGGAGUUCGAGGAUUGCUCUGCAGCUGGCGCGCCCUAGGGGGGGCGCUGCGGAAGAUCACUUUCUUUCAGGGUCACGUAUUCCAAUAUUUUGGAAACAUACAAAGAUCCUGGAGCGACAUCAACGUUUCUCUCAAUGGGCAAACAUGGUGCCCAGCCCAGCUGGUGGCAUUUGAACCUAGCAAAACUUCUGGCUGAUUCCCUGCGUCCUGCCCUUUAGCUGCACCCUCAGGUCCCUUCCUUAUCGAGGCCACCUACUCCUGAGGUUGUUCAGCAGUUACCCCAGGCGUGACACUUGCGAGGCCACUCCUUUGGUUACAGUUCUCCUGGGGUCCAUGUUGGUGGUGUCCGACCCAUGCAAGAUCUCAUCAUGGGAAACAGCUUUUACAGCACCGUGUGCGGCUGUGCUGCUGGUCGUAAUGGAUUUGAGAGGACAAGGUCAGUGCUGGAUUCCUGCCACAACUGUCCUCGCUGGUAAGUUCCAGGUUACAUGUGCUAUGACCUUGCUGAGGGUUUGCUCCUUUUUUG
rnacentral:lncRNA from 1 species